rnacentral:lncRNA from 1 species
UCUUCGAAAAACUCUAUUUCUCUUCCUCUCUUCCGCAAAACUUCGCCAAGUGAUUUCGCCGACGUUUUUUAACCAAAUCGGAGAGUUCUGCUUCGAAAUCGGAGAGGAUUCAGGUGUUUAAAGUCUCUUGAAACGCCAACGAUUUGUUUAAGGUAUGUAUUCGAGUCGAAUAGAACUUGAUUUGGAGAAAUUAGGGUUUUCGCAAAUUGGGGAUAAAUUUCAGUUCCACUAAAAUCGGUCUUCCGAGAUCGUUUAGGGUAAUUAGAACCUGCAAACCUGUAUUUUUGAUUUGAUAUGUUAAACGAUUUCAUGGUUAAGAUGUGAAGCAAUUUCAAAAAAUCAUCUAACAUCUGGGUUGUCGGAUUUAUGGAUUUAGCGAAUGGUUUUGGUUUGAUUAGUGGAUUUAGCAAGCUGUAUCAUCUGUUAAAUGAUGAUUUGAACAUGGAUUUGGGAUUUACCGAGUGAUUUCAUGUGUUAACCGAUGCUCAUUUGAUUUAGCUUGUAGUCAUUGAUUUCUUUGACAUUAGGUUGGCUUAUGUAACAAGAACAUGCUUUAUCUGUUAUGUAACAAGAACAUGCUUUCCUUAGAGAAUAUAUAAGCUAGUAUUUACAGCCAUUUCCUUUGUCUUUAAGUAGGUUUUUUCUAAACCCAGCUACUCUCUAAGUUUUAGUUAACUCUGUUGUAUUAAAAAGUCUUGUAAGCUAUGCUAUGUAGUCUCGAAGAACUGUUGUUUAACUUUUGGUAAUGAGGCAAUGUUAUGGUUAGUAUUGGUUCCAUAUUGUUAUUGGUUUCGUGUUGCAUCUGCGGUUUGGUUCUUGGGCAUCUGUUUCUAGUUUCAUUUCCCUUUUGCAGAUUAGAUUGACUGUACUUGUAUUAAUGCUAUUCAUUUUUUUAAUUGCUUUGAGGUGAAUUGGAGUAAAUUGUGGCGUAAUGAAAGUAACUACCAGAAGUUGGUUCACGUCUGCUUCGUAUUUAAGGUUAGUCUUCAAUCUGUAGUUAUGUGUAUGACUUGUUAAUAAGUUUUAAGGGUUAAGGUCUUGUCAUUACCAUAAAUGUUUGUUUGGUGAGUAGUUAAGUGUCUGUUAUUAUUGCCGUGACAGUUUGCUGGUUAGAGUAGGUUAGCGAGUUAAUGGUAGUUAAAGUUAAUAAGAUUUCCCUCUAUAAAAAACACAAAACAAACCAAAACACACAACAGAAAACAAAACUUGAAUAAACCUAACUUAAAAAGUUCUUCCAAGUUCUUCCUUCUAAACCCUUCUUUGUUAACGUUUUUAAGUUCUUCUUUCUAAACUUCUUCCUUGAAUACCCUUUUCUCUUUUUAAUCCUUUACACAAAGAUGGAUUCCACAAACCCUGCCUUGACUGGUUUUGUUAACCUACUAACCAGUCAACAAGAAAACCAAUACACUUUCCCAACAACCAUCGAGCUUGGAUCAGCCGAACCUAGGUUUAGCCAGUUUACACUUGAAGAACAA